AUAAAAUUUCAAAAGUCUAACAUUAUUAAUUUAUAGAGGGUCUAUUGUAUAUAACGAAUCACUGGGAAGAAUAACUCUUUGAUUUUUAAAUUUUUUAAAAAAAUAGUUUGCAAACUAAUUUUCUCUUUUUAGCUAUUUCACAACAUCAAGCAGAAAUUUUGAAAAAUAAAACAAAAUCUUGCAACUCUUUAUUUUAUUUUUUUAUUUUUUAUUUUUGUAACUGACAACUCUUUAUUUGCGUGUGUACAAUACUAAAUAACUAAAAAUAUAAAAUAAUUCAUGGUGAUUUUUGUGUUAUGACAGCACUGAUAUUAUUUAAUAUGUUUCUGUAUAAUUUUAGUAAAAACUGGGACACAGUAAUAUUACAGUGAUUUCAUUUGGGGUUUGGUUUAAUAAUGAAUUUGGACGAUAUCAAAAGGCAAUAAUAAUCAACUGCAAAAGGUUAAGAGCCAAAUAAACAACAAAAUAAAUAAUACUCCCUCCGUUUUUUAUUGUAAGUAGUUUUAUUUAAAAACACGAAUAUUUAGAAAAUUGUUAUUUAAAAGAAUAUAUCAUUUAACCAAUUAAUUUAACAAAUUAUUAAAAACCUAACAUUAUUUCAUUGGUCACACGAUAUCCAAUAAAUGAAAAAGAUGCAUUGAAAUAUGUAAAUCACUUAUAAUGUGAAACAAAUUCUUUUGCUAAAACUAUUUACGUUUAGAAAGUGAGUACUAAAAUCAGAGAAUGGGUAAACAAAUGGAUACUACUUGUUGGGACCCACAAGAACUAAAACGGUGGAGAAAUCCGUCGUUUCUGGUGGUAUAAAAGGAGGAGUCCUAUCGACUCUGCAAAGAGAUAGCUCGCUCGCUUCAUCUAAUAUUUACUCGUCCUUCUCCUCUCUCUCUCGAGUGAAACGGCGGACAUAUCUAUCGUUUAUAGUGCAACUUCGGCGCCGUCGUUUGGAGGGGAAAGAUGAGUCUCGAGGAUAUCAAGAACGAGACUGUUGAUCUGAAUUAAACAAAGGGAAGUAGUGGAGGAAGUAGGAGAAGUGGCCAUAUCACUUACCAAAUGGGGAGGAGUGGCUAGUCCACUACUAGUUAGUGGAGGAAGUGGGAGGAGUGGCCAUAUCACUUACCAAAUGGGGAGGAGUGGCUAGUCCACUACUAGUUAUUUAUUCUUCCACCAUUGAGUGCUUAUUGCUUUUGUUUCCUUUAAAUACACCAUGUAUGUUACACAAUUAAACACACAAUUCAAUACAAACAUUUCUUUCA